rnacentral:rRNA from 1 species
CCUACGGGAGGCAGCAGUGGGGAAUAUUGCACAAUGGGGGAAACCCUGAUGCAGCAACGCCGCGUGAGUGAAGAAGUAUUUCGGUAUGUACAGCUCUAUCAGCAGGGAAGAAAAAAGACGGUACCUGACUAAGAAGACCCGGCUAACUACGUGCCAGCAGCAGCGGUAAUAUGUAGGGGGCAAGCGUUAUCCGGAUUUACUGGGUGUAAAGGGAGCGUAGACGGCAUAGCAAGUCUGAAGUGAAAGCCCGUGGCGCAACCGCGGAACUGCUUUGGAAAAUGUUAAGGUGGAGUACUGGGGAGGCUAGCGUAAUUCCUAGUGUAGCGGUGAAAUGCGUAGAUAUUAGGAGGAACACCAGUGGCGAAGGCGGCUUGCUGGACAGAGACUGACGUUGAGGCUCGAAAGCGUGGGGAGCAAACAGGAUUAGAUACCCUGGUAGUC